rnacentral:rRNA from 2 species
ACGGGAGGCAGCAGUGAGGAAUAUUGGUCAAUGGACGCAGGUCUGAACCAGCCAAGUAGCGUGAAGGAUGACGGCCCUAUGGGUUGUAAACUUCUUUUACAGGGGAAUAAAGUCGCCCACGUGUGGGCGUUUGCAUGUACCCUGCGAAUAAGGAUCGGCUAAUUCCGUGCCAGCAGCCGCGGUAAUACGGAAGAUCCGAGCGUUAUCCGGAUUUAUUGGGUUUAAAGGGAGCGUAGGCGGGCUGAUAAGUCAGUGGUCAAAGCGUGUGGCUCAACCAUACCACGCCGUUGAAACUGUCAGCCUUGAGUGCACGCGAGGAUGGUGGAAUUCGUGGUGUAGCGGUGAAAUGCUUAGAUAUCACGAAGAACUCCGAUUGCGAAGGCAGCUGUCCGGAGUGCAACUGACGCUGAUGCUCGAAAGUGCGGGAAUCAAACAGGAUUAGAUACCCUGGUA